rnacentral:miRNA from 1 species
GAGAUGAGAUCAAUGUUUGGACAU